UUUUCCUUUAUUGGGUAACACAUUUUUCAGAUGUUUUCAAAACCGGAAGAUGGAUUGAUAUUAGUUCUUUUCGUCAGUCACAAUCUCCAUCCAUGCAGCUCCUUGUAGACCAGAUACCUUCCUUUUGUUUGUCAUCUAGAGCACCCAACACUCAACGACAGUAUAGAUAUGUUUUCAACGCUUUUUGCUGUCGUGUACUACGCAGCGGUGUUGCCGAUAUCAUGACAUCGGGACUCAAUAUUUUGUUUUAAUAAAAUUUAACAGUAAGCUGCACAUGCUGGCGAGCUAUUCCUAUGUAACAA